rnacentral:rRNA from 1 species
CUGGAAUCGCUAGUAAUCGCAGGUCAGCAUACUGCGGUGAAUACGUUCCCGGGUCUUGUACACACCGCCCGUCACACCAUGGGAGCCGGAAAUGCCCGAAGCCAGUGACCCAACCUUAGGGAGGGAGCUGUCGAAGGUGGAGCCGGUAACUGGGGUGAAGUCGUAACAAGGUACC